rnacentral:rRNA from 1 species
UGAGGAAUUUUCUGCAAUGGGCGAAAGCCUGACAGAGCAAUACCGCGUGAGGGAUGAAGGCCUAUGGGUUGUAAACCUCUUUUCUCAAGGAGGAAGAUCUGACGUUACUUGAGGAAUAAGCAUCGGCUAACCCUGUGCCAGCAGCCGCGGUAAUACAGGGGAUGCAAGUGUUAUCCGGAAUUAUUGGGCGUAAAGCGUCUGCAGGUGGACUUUUAAGUCUUUUGUUAAACCUCUAGGCUUAACCUAGAAUCUGCAAAGGAAACUAUUUGUCUUGAGUAUGGUAGAGGUAAAGGGAAUUUCCGGUGGAGCGGUGAAAUGCUUAGAUAUUGGAAAGAACACCAACGGCGAAGGCACGUUACUGGGCCAGUACUGACACUGAGAGACGAAAGCUAGGGGAGCAAACGG